rnacentral:misc_RNA from 1 species
GCCCUCCAACUGUAUCUCGAGAUUGGUUUGCAAAAACAAUAAGUUUCAUGGCCAAUUUCACUGAUCUAAAAACCUCUAGAGAAUUAGCUCAUUUUUUGGUCAGUUCUAAGAAUAAAUUCAGUAAGUAGAACAUGUCUAUAAAUCAGUAGACUACACUCUAAUCCUCCUUGUCAUUUGACCUCCUCCUGAAUUCAAAAAGUUAGUUUCAG